GGUGAGCCACUGCGUCAGUGGCUGUUUUACUUGAUUUGAUAGACGCAUCUUUCCCAGGCAGCAAUGUUGCUCUUCUUUUACUUCCUCUUCUUCUUGAGGGCUUGGCUAAUUCGCUGCUAGUUCCGUUGAAACCGUCUCAGCCUCGCGUCAGGGAUCCUGCCAGCAGCCAUGCCUUCGUCGUCCUCCUGUUGUCGCUCUUAGCUGCUGAGACACCUACUGCCUCUUCCUCCAUCGCCCAAUCUCCGUUCAUUGUCCGCCUUCACACCGCAGUUUAUUUCCCUUCUCCCUGCACCGCUCGCUCAUCCAUGCCUGUUUCCGUUCCAGGUUCCUGUUGGAGCUCCUGAUGAAGCAGUACCCCUCGGUGUACAAGACCGCGCUCAUGGGCAAGACGCUCUGGUGCGGACUGUGGGCCUUCCUGACGGCCGGUAAGAAGAAGACGGGGGGUACAGGCAGGCAGGUAUGCAUACAUGCAUGCAUGCAUAUGCUCCAUGGCCCCGUGGCCCUUCAUGCUGUGGCGACGUUUUUGGCGGGGACGGGACUGAGCAGAGGGCAACAACGUAUCUCGCCCUUACUCGGAGGUAGAUCAGGAGGCCACGGAAAAAGAACCCUAAACUCCUUUUGCACGCCCGUACAGUGAUGUCGCUGUUUUGGACUGCAUGUACCAAACCCUCCUAUCGGCGCUUCCCUGGCAUAGUGCCUGAACGGAACCGGGGCCCUGCUACCCUGCAACCUCGUGCUGACCUCGUGCGUGCUUGGCCACGCCUCAUGCACGGAAAAUCGCUGGCCAAGUCUACAGACUACGUAAUUUCGUCUUCUAUCCGCUGUUCCAGGAUUCUUCGUUGUGAUGCUGCGCAAGAACGGCUGCCUAAUGACCAUCUUCUCAACCCUGGUCAUCACCUUUUCGCUGCUGGCUGGCGGAGUGUGGAGCGAGAGCUGCGAGCUGGCCGCGGGUUACUUUGGGUUCUUCUGCGGCGCGUCCGCCAUCUACGCCGC
rnacentral:lncRNA from 1 species